UGAGGAAUAUUGCGCAAUGGGCGAAAGCCUGACGCAGCGACACCGCGUGAAGGAUGAAGGCUUUAGGGUUGUAAACUUCUGUUAAGUGGGACGAAAAAGGCGGUCCUAAUACGACCGCAAACUGACGGUACCACUAGAGAAAGCACCGGCUAACUUCGUGCCAGCAGCCGCGGUAAGACGAGGGGUGCAAACGUUAUUCGGAAUGAUUGGGCGUAAAGGGUGCGUAGGCGGCUUAUUAAGUCAACUGUUAAAUUUCUCAGCUUAACUGGGAGUGUGCGGUAGAAACUGGUAGGCUUGAGGGUGGAAGAGAGAAGUGGAAUUCUCGGAGUAGCGGUAAAAUGCGUAGAUCUCGAGAGGAACACCGAUGGCGAAGGCAGCUUCUUGGUCCAUUUCUGACGCUGAGGCACGAAAGCGUGGGGAGCAAACAGGAUUAGAUACCCCUGUAGUCC
rnacentral:rRNA from 1 species